rnacentral:rRNA from 1 species
UAAAAACCCCGACUUCGGAAGGGGUGUAUUUAUUAGAUACAAAACCAAUGCCCUACGGGGCUCUUUGGUGAUUCAUGAUAACUAUACGAAUCGCACGGCCUUGCGCCGGCGAUGGUUCAUUCAAAUUUCUUCCCUAUCAACUUUCGAUGUUUGGGUAUUGGCCAAACAUGGUUGCAACGGGUAACGGAGGGUUAGGGCUCGACCCCGGAGAAGGAGCCUGAGAAACGGCUACUACAUCCAAGGAAGGCAGCAGGCGCGCAAAUUACCCAAUCCCGACUCGGGGAGGUAGUGACAAUAAAUACUGAUACAGGGCCCUUUCGGGCCUUGUAAUUGGAAUGAGUACAAUUUAAAUCCCUUAACGAGGAACAAUUGGAGGGCAAGUCUGGUGCCAGCAGCCGCGGUAAUUCCAGCUCCAAUAGCGUAUAUUAAAGUUGUUGUGGUUAAAAAGCUCGUAGUUGAACCUUGGGCCUGGCUGGCCGGUCCGCCUCACCGCGUGCACUGGUCCGGCCGGGCCUUUCCCUCUGUGGAACCCCAUACCCUUCAAUGGGCGUGGCGGGGAAACAGGAUAUUUACGGU